CUCAAUGAAUAUUCAAUUGCCGCAAAUAUGUGCUAAGGUAGCAUAAUCAUUUGUUUUUUAAUUAAAAACUAGAACGAAAGAUUUAACAUUUUUAUUUCUUUCUCCUAUAUAACUAUUAAAAUUAUUUUAAAUAUUAAAAAAUAUUUAUUACUCAAAAAGACGACAAGACCCUAUUGAACUUAACUAAAGUUAAACUGGGGUAGUUAAUUAAAUACAAUUUUAAUUCAAAUUUCAAAAACAACCUAAUUCAAUUAAAAAAAUUAAGUUACCAUAGGGAUAACAGCGUAAUAUUUUUCUAAAGUUCUUAUUCCAAAAAUUGAUUACGACCUCGAUGUUGAAUUAAUUUCCUAUUAAAUGCAAUAAUUUUAUAAGAAAGUC
rnacentral:rRNA from 1 species